rnacentral:rRNA from 1 species
UGGGGAAUUUUGGACAAUGGGCGAAAGCCUGAUCCAGCAAUGCCGCGUGUGUGAAGAAGGCCUUCGGGUUGUAAAGCACUUUUGUCCGGAAAGAAAUCCUUGGCUCUAAUACAGUCGGGGGAUGACGGUACCGGAAGAAUAAGCACCGGCUAACUACGUGCCAGCAGCCGCGGUAAUACGUAGGGUGCAAGCGUUAAUCGGAAUUACUGGGCGUAAAGCGUGCGCAGGCGGUUUGCUAAGACCGAUGUGAAAUCCCCGGGCUCAACCUGGGAACUGCAUUGGUGACUGGCAGGCUAGAGUAUGGCAGAGGGGGGUAGAAUUCCACGUGUAGCAGUGAAAUGCGUAGAGAUGUGGAGGAAUACCGAUGGCGAAGGCAGCCCCCUGGGCCAAUACUGACGCUCAUGCACGAAAGCGUGGGGAGCAAACNGGAUUAGAUACCCUGGUAGUCCACGCCCUAAANGAUGUCACUAGUUGUUGGGGAUUCAUUUCCUUAGUAACGUAGCUAACGCGUGAAGUUGACCGCCUGGGGAGUAC